rnacentral:tRNA from 1 species
GGUUUUAUAGUGUAUUAAACAUAACAGACUGCAAUUCUGUUGAAGUUAUUUUAAAUAUCUAAAACUU